GCCAUAAAAACUUCAACUACUUUUUUCACUAAGUCACUGAAAUAUCCAUCAUGCAUCUCUGGAAAGUACCAGGUGCAUGCACAAGCCAAAUGGCAUUCUUCGGUACGCAAAAGUGGCAAACGGGCAAUGUAAAGGUGGGUCUUUUUUCAUGGGUCGUCUAAUACAUCUCAAUUGAUUGUAUCCUGAAUAGCCAUCUAGAAAAAUAAUAACCAAUUCAUUGCCCAUGCACCCCACCCCCCCCUUUCUAUUAUUCUCGUCUAUGAAUGGGAGUGGAAAAAUGGGUCAUUUCCUAGUGAAAGAAUGUAACUCCUAUAAUCAAUACAAACUCUUCACCCAGUGGUGAUCGAGUUGGUAUCAAUUCCUAAUUAUCAUUUUGUAUCAGUUAUUCCAGAUUCUUUGGCAUUACCUGAGUUAGGCCCUUACCCAUUGCUAUCUGCAAUAGGGUAGAUGAUUCUUUUAACAUCCAAUAAUUUUAACACUUCAUGCUGACCACAUCUUUCAUAUGGGGUUUAACCUUCGUUGGGGUUGUCGGGAUGGUUUAAUAUCCUCCUCUCGGUAAAUACGAUGUGUGCAGAUCAAGGGAAUGAUACCUUUUAUGUCUGCAAUUCCAUCCACAUGGCAUCUCUAUGGGAUUUAGGAUAGCUAAAAGUUUGGAUUUCUGAUGCUAGUAAGACUGAUGAGAUCACCAAGGAAUGUCUCAUUUUUUCCUAAGAAGCAUACUUGAGGUUAGAUGAAAGUAUUUUAACUCCAAGGUGGAGCGUUGAACACUUGAUGGAAGGGAGCGAUUGGCAUUGAGGCACAAUUCUCAAAUUUUUGUACCCAACUAUUCAACUCACAAAUUAUUGGUAUCUAACAAAGAGUAUAUUUGCCUAACCCUUCAUUUAAACUGUACUCUAUAGUUGUUGGAUUUUUUUAAACAUAAUUCAAGGGAUCAGAGUAUAGGGAAGUCUACAUGCAUCUUCCACAAUACUCUCAAUGCUAUUAAUUUCCUGGACUCACCUAUCUCUAUUUGUUUGGCAUGUUAAAUAUGUUCAAUUCACAUGUAAUGUACCAAACUUUAGUCUAAUACUCCAUUCCUGCAUUGGAUAAAUGAUCUGAGGUUGCUAGGAAUGGUCAACCUAAAAUCAUAGGAAUUUGAGUAUCUGGAUUUCAUUGGUUGAGUGUCUAACACGAUAAAAUCUAUAGAAAAUCGGAAUUUAUCUACUUGUAUUAAGACAUUCCUCAACCAUUUUCUAUGGUACUCUGGACUUCUGUCUGCUCGUUGGAGAGUUAUAUUUGUAGGUUUCAACUAUCCUAACCCAAUGUUUGUACACAGGAGUUUGGUAAUAAGUUGGACACUGACCACCUAAAUCUACAAAAGCGUGUUAUUUGGUAGCCCCAAUGCCAAUAGAUAUUGUCGGACACCCAGGGUUCUUAUAUUUUUGGGGUUUCUCAGUCUGAAAACAUGAGCUUGUUGUGCCAUUAGAAAUACCUUUUUUAUGCAUUGGACGUUUUUAAUUGUGAUAAUUCUUUUAAAAAUUUUGAGUAUGCGGGAUCUGUUUUAUUGCACUAGUAAGGGAAUGUGAUUUUUACUUGCUCGAAGAGUUUAUAAAUCUUAUCAUUGGUAGUUCCAUUUUUUGGGCAAUCUAAGUCUUAUGGAAAUGGUGCGGGUGUUGGUAGGGUAGUGGGUUUGUCUGCCAAUACAUACACAAAUUGAUUCCAUAUUCAAAGGAUCUUGUUCUCGCAUUUACCUCAUAAAGUUUAUGGGUUUUAGUGAAGCGGAAUUUGAAUAGUCUGGUUCUCAAUCUCCUUACAACUUUCAACGUGGUAAUUGAUUUUAAUUUCUAUGACUGUGAGGGGGGUGGGGAAUUGAAAACUAGGUAUCCAUGCCAUGUUGGCAUGGGAUUUGCUAGUGGUUGUGAUGGAAAUUUUCCUUUUCUCCUGUUGUAUUCCCCCUACGGUUGUGGUCAAUUUGGUCAACUGGAUCAAAUAAUUCACUAAUGGCUGAUAUUCUGAAAACCCACGAUGCCUGUCAAUUUGAACUAAAAGUAGGUAGGUAUGCUCUAAACUCCGUUUAUUGGGGGUUUGGUAUACAUUUUGGUUGUGGUUUUGGGAAAUGGGCCUGCAAAACAUUAGUCUGUCCUUGGUCUGAUUGAAUAGGAUUCAAUCCAUUGGACUCCCUGUUGCUAUGGUGGAUUAGAAGUUGGCCCACUUGGUCAAAUUGGAAUUAUAUGUAUUUCUAUAGGAAAAAAUUGAGUGGAGUAGGUUAUAUUUAUUGGAGUAUGCAGAAUUGAAAGGUUCUGUGACUGAUUCAUUGAUAUUGAAGAGACUUGCUCUCAGUCUGCAAGACCUCUUUAAAGCAGUAGAGUAGGGGCAUCCAGUCGUAGCAUGCCCAGAUCUAUCACAAAAUGACACAUUUUUAUUCCUUAUCAGAUGACGUGCUAACCUCAUUGUAUUUUUAAUUUCUAGGGAUCAAUUGUUUUCAGACAUUUAAGAUAACUUUGUUUGCAAAUCAUCAUAU
rnacentral:lncRNA from 1 species